GGAAAAUGAAAGCAAGUUCACGCUGACAAUGCCCGUAAAGAGCUUUGUGAAGCCAUGACAGUGCUCUUCAAUUUUAACAUGAAGAAGAGGGCAUGUGAGUUAGCAAGACUGGCCAGAGGCCAGAGCCCGGGGCCAGCAAACCUUUCCCUGCUGUGAGGUGGGCAAGUUAGUUGCUCCAAAAACAAGAUAAAAUGAUUGAGUUCUUUUCUCAAGCGGGAGUCGGAGUUUAUCUGCUCUGAGGGCCAAAUCUCUCUCCAUCAUACAGAUGCCUCCCACAUUGCCUGUGACUUUACAGAAGCUUGGAGUCUAAAUUAUGUGGCUGCUAUUAGUAACAACUUUGAGACCGAAGGCUAUUGGGCUAUUGGCUCCACCAUGGGCACCACUAGCUUUAAACUCAAACAGACAGAUGAGACCACUUGAACCUUGGCAGUUACCAGUUCAGAGGAGCAGCCUAACCCAGCCACUCCACAGCUGCAAUUUGAGAGCAUCUAGAGGACACCACAUAAAUCUUUUCACCUGGUCCCUGCUACCACAGAUGAAACCUCCUCAAUGCCCCCAAGAAGCCAUCUUGGGCAGGAAAAAGAGAGCCCCAGCAGCUACUAUUAAUGAGUGUCUGGAAUAUGUUCCUGGCAUUUCACCUACCCUCUCUCCAAUCCUUCCAAGAAACUCACAAAGCAGGGCUUUUUCUUGAACUUCUCUUCCUCACAACAGUUAAAUCAUCCAUUUAAAGAUGUCAAACAACCUCCGUGUUCUAAGCCAGACCAUCAACUUAACUUGUAAAACUACCAACUGUUGCUACACACAGGCAAAGGAAUUAAACUUGGUAGCUGAUCAUUUGAUUACAUCUAUCAGUCUACUGGAGGGCUUCAACGCAGAGUAGGUGGAAUUCAUGGUUCAAAUCAGAGUAUUAAUGGGAUCUGUUUGCACACCAAUACCUGAUCUCCUU
ensembl:lncRNA LINC00472 long intergenic non-protein coding RNA 472